AGAACAUGGCAAUCCAUUGCUAAGGACUAAAAUUGCACUUACCAGGAGAACUCCUCUGGACAUGCUAUCAGGAGGGACCACUCCCUGGAGAAGACCGCAUGCUGUGUGACGAAGGUGGUCCCUGAAACAGAAGAGGAAGGCCCACUAAGAGGAAGCUCAAUUCACUCGAAAACCCAGAUGACCAAAUGUAGCGGGAACUCCCGCACGCAGGAGAAGCUUGGUUGCAAUUUUCACACAUACGUCUCCGAGCCAGUUUCUACACCACCUCCUCCCUCGGCACUGGGUGUGCCCCCAGCCAAACCAGCGUGGAGGCAGCCGGUGGAGUUCAGGACCUGCUGUCAGGAGCGUCCAGUCCCUGGAGAAGGACACCCUGCUUGGUACAGUCACAGGGGGACCUUCGACGAGAUGGCUGACUCAGGGGCUGCAUGAAGGGGCUCCAGCCGGGAGGAUGGCCCAGGGCAGAGUCGUGUGCAUUGUGCUGUGCCUUCACUAUGAGUUCAAACCCACGGACCGCACCGAACAGCAAGGUGAAUCUGCUAACUGGAUGGCAGUGGGCUGGGAUUUAGAAUAUAUCAGAAUUUCAAACAUGGAUUCCAAUGUUUCUAAAUUAUUAAAACGUCUCUUUUUCUUGUG